CGACCUUCCCUCGCUCUCCUCUCCCCGCCUAUAUCGUAACCCUAACCCUACUAAGAACUCUUCUUCGAUCUCUUGUGGCAGUUUCUCCCGCCCGGCAUGGCUGCCGAGCGCCCGCGAGGAUCGACCCCGCGUCCGGUGAUCGGGAAGGCAGGGAGGUACACGGUGUUCAUCACCCCGCCGCCUGCCUCGAAGCCUUCCGAGGCCCCGAGAGCAGAGAGCGCCGGCCCUGCAAAGGCGUAUCCUUUGCUUGUCGAUGCUCUUCAUUCGCCGCUGCCGGUCCAGGUCCCGCCGAAGCAGUUCGAUAAGGUGGACGCGAAUUCGUCGGGAUCGGUGUUCGGGUUCUUCUGGGACGCCAUCGCGAGGGUCCAAGAUGCGCAUUCAAGCUUGGAUGAGCAUUUGGCAGACUGGUUUGGGUUGAACCAAUCGAAGUACCAGUGGGCAUUAAACGAUUACUAUGGGAACAAUGGAAAGGUACCUGUCAGGUUUGAGGAACCUUGAAAAGAGAUCAUCUCAAGCUGCGUGAUCGAGGAAGGAAACACACAGAGAAGGCAGAGAGGAUUGCAGCAGCCAUGCCUCCAUUGGACAAGUUCCUCUGCUCGUGGAAGUAUUUUCGCUCACGGUACCUGAAGCGGGGCUCACACUGAGGGAAGUCAUGUACUGGAAUGGAUUCGUAGGGGGCACGAUCUCCUCUUCGCCCUCGAGCAUCCUCACCACGCUGCUCAUCGAAGGUCUGGCUUCCGGCUGAUACUGCACGCACCACAAAGCCACCUGACACAUCCGCUCUGCUUUCUCCCUGUCCUUCUCCUCUAUACCGCAAGCUGACACUAUGUUCUCCAUUUCGCCAUGCUCAAACUUCUGCCACACCCACCGAGGGAACCACUCAAACUCCUGACUCUCAACUGAUUCCAGGAACUCCAGGUUCCUCCGCCUCCCCAGGAUCUCAAACAGAAGCAUCCCGAAGCUGUAGACGUCGCACUUAUGAGUCACGGGUAUCGGCAUCCACAGCUCCGGCGCGGCGUAGCCGGGAGUUCCCCUGCCGCCGGUGAGCGUCACGUAACUCCUCUCCCUGUCGCAGAACUUCGCCAGUCCAAAGUCGGCAACUUUGGGGUUGAAGUUGGUCGUCAGGAGGACGUUCGCCGGCUUGAUGUCGUAAUGCACUAUCUUCUGCUGGCAUUCCUCGUGCAGGUAUCGGAUCCCCUUGGCCGUGCCCAGCGCGAUCUCCUGCAGCUUCCCCCAUGGAAUGCGGUGGUUCUCGUCGAACAAGAACCGGUCGAGGGAUCCAUUCUCCAUGUACUCGUAGACCAGUGCUUUGAUCGACCUGUCGAAGCAGAAGCCGUACAGCUUCACCAGAUUGAUGUGGUUAGUUCUGCCUAUGGUGCCGACUUCCGCCAUGAACUGCUCCUCGGCUCUCUUGUUCAUGGCCGCCUUCAGAACCUUGACGGCCACCGGCACGCCGUUGGGGAACCGGCCUUUGUAGACUACUCCGAAGCCGCCGAAUCCCAGUUUCUGGUCAUAGUUCUGAGUGAAGCGCUCGAGAUCCUGUGCAGUGAACCUCAUGGGCUUGUCUCUCAUCAUGUCAUCGAGGAAUCUCUCGAUUGGUUCAGCUGCAGCACUCGAGUCGUUCGUUACGGCAAUA